GCAGGGCGCAGUGGUGCGUGCCUGUAGUCCCAGCUACUCCCGAGGCUGAAGUGGGAGAAUCGCUUGAGCCCAGGAGGUUUGGGCUGUAGUGGGCUUUGUUGAUCGGGUGUCCGCACUAAGUUCGGCAUCAAUAUGGUGACCUCCCAGGAGCAGGGGACCACCAGGUUGCCUAAGGAGGGGUGAACAGCCCAGGUUGGAAACGGAGCAGGUCAAAACUCCCUUGCUGAUCAGUAAUGGGAUUGCACCUGUGAAUAGCCACUGCACUCCAGCCUGGUCAACAUAGAGACCCCGUCUCUA
ensembl:misc_RNA Metazoa_SRP Metazoan signal recognition particle RNA